GCGCAGCAGGCGAGAAUUUUUCUCAAUGGGCGAAAGCCUGAAGGAGCGACGCCGCGUGGAGGAUGAAGGCUUUCGGGUUGUAAACUCCUGUCAUUUGAGAACAAGUGUAGCCAAAUAACUACUGGCUACUUGAUAGUAUCAGAAGAGGAAGGGACGGCUAACUCUGUGCCAGCAGCCGCGGUAAUACAGAGGUCCCAAACGUUGUUCGGAUUCAUUGGGGGUAAAGGUGCGUAGGUGGCGCCGUAAGUCGGGUGUGAAAUUUCGGAGCUUAACUCCGAAACUGCAUUCGAUACUGCGGUGCUUGAGGACUGGAGAGGAGACUGGAAUUUACGGUGUAGCAGUGAAAUGCGUAGAGAUCGUAAGGAAGACCAGUGGCGAAGGCGGGUCUCUGGACAGUUCCUGACACUGAUGCACGAAGGCCAGGGGAGC
rnacentral:rRNA from 1 species